CUUCUGGGCCUCUCCUUGUUAGGGGGGAAAGCCAGGGACCGACUGAGGGACCCUGGGUGGGUGGGGUUUGGGCAGAGGCCAGGCAGUGAGGCUCAGAGCAGCACCAGCCGGCUCUCCCCGGCCUGCGGUAGGAUGGGAGAAAGAGCUGCAUCGGAGGGGACUUCCCCGAAGAUCGCCAGGCUCGGGGGAGAAAAGGUAGACACAGUGUCAGCCCAGCAGACCAGACCCAGAGACUGUCCUGUCUCAGGGCCCCAGCCCCCCUGCUGCAGAGAUGGGCAGCGGACCCUGCAGGGCGUGGGCCCUUAGAGCCUGAGGCCUUCUGGGCUGGGACCUGCUUGUCAAGGCCUGGAGGGGGUGACUGGGCAGGGACUCUUUCUGAUGGCAGCCUGGGCCUGCAGACUCCCCAGGACCCCUGCUCUGGCCCCACAUCCUGCAGGCCCUGGCAUGAAUGGUGCCAGGAAUGCUGUGUUCUGGGCCCAGUGGGCUAGCCCUGUUGCCUGCCCACUCCAGAGACAGGCACAGUUCUGCCGCCAGAGCAGGCACAGGCUUCCAGAAGGUUAUUCCCCACGGAGGCCCUACUGCCCCCGCCCAGGAGACCUAUGUUAUAUAUUUAGAAGCAUUUCUGGAUGACUGACCUCGAGCUGCAGACGUUCAAACCCUUGGUAAUGAGUAACCGGCAGUUAACGACUUUUCCACAGAGAAAAGAGGCACAUUGAAACCCGAAGGGACGCCGGCAAGACAUUCCAUGUUGUAGAAGAAGUUCUCUCAAAUUCCCUCAUGUCGCCAAACGGAAAGGCAGAGCAGCCUGUCUCCCAGGCCAGACUAAGGUCCUGUCCGGUAAACACGCAGAGGGAGAGGAUCUGGGCUAGAAAUCUUGCUCUGAAGGAGACGAAGCUUGCGGCCCGACUCUAGGGCCCAACAGCUCAGCUGCUCAGCCAAAGGCUCUGCGAUCUGGCUUCCCAAAGCAGCAGCGUCACAAAUCACGACCCCCUCUCCCCACCUUGCACUUGAGCCAGCAGUGACACCCCCCCUUCUAGGGGACUGUGGGAAAUGUGACCUUGGCCUUGGUCCUUGAGCACCGGCCCUGCAGAAGCAGCUUUGGAAUGUUGGGCCCCGUGGACCACCAGAGGAUUCCCACAUACUCUCUUUUCCUCUCCCCAUGUGUUCUGCCUUCAGUCUCUUCCUGAAGGCACUUGAGAUGCAGGCAACGCUGCAUGAGUGUUGGACAGAGGCGAGCUCAGAAACCGGUAAGAAAACCAGGUGUAGGGGCGCCUGGGUGGCUCAGU